AGCGGCGGACGGGUGAGUAACACGUGGGUAACCUGCCUCAUAGAGGGGAAUAGCCUUUCGGAAAGGAAGAUUAAUACCGCAUAAGAUUGUAAUGUCGCAUGACAUGGCAAUUAAAGGAGUAAUCCGCUAUGAGAUCGGACCCGCGUCGCAUUAGCUAGUUGGUGAGGUAACGGCUCACCAAGGCGACGAUGCGUAGCCGACCUGAGAGGGUGAUCGGCCACAUUGGGACUGAGGCACGGCCCAGACUCCUACGGGAGGCAGCAGUGGGGAAUAUUGCACAAGUGGGGGGAAACCCUGAUGCAAGCAACGCCGCGUGAGUGAUGACGGUCUUCGGAUUGUAAAGCUCUGUCUUUAGGGACGAUAAUGACGGUACCUAAGGAGGAAGCCACGGCUAACUACGUGCCAGCCGCUGC
rnacentral:rRNA from 1 species